rnacentral:rRNA from 1 species
UACAACAUAGUGUUAAUGCAUUGGAUCCCAUUAGAACUUUGCAGUUAAGCAUGCUUGAGCUAGAGUAGUACUGGGAUGGGUGACUGCCCGAGAAGAGCUAGUGUUUUAC